UUUUCAUCAGACAAUCUGUGUGAGCACUGCAAAGUACGCUUCUUUAAGGUAAGGAGGUGAUCCAACCGCAGGUUCCCCUACGGUUACCUUGUUACGACUUCACCCCAGUCAUGAAUCACAAAGUGGUAAGCGCCCUCCCGAAGGUUAAGCUACCUACUUCUUUUGCAACCCACUCCCAUGGUGUGACGNNNNNNNNNNNNNNNNNNNNGCGGUGUGUACAAGGCCCGGGAACGUAUUCACCGUGGCAUUCUGAUCCACGAUUACUAGCGAUUCCGACUUCAUGGAGUCGAGUUGCAGACUCCAAUCCGGACUACGACGCACUUUAUGAGGUCCGCUUGCUCUCGCGAGGUCGCUUCUCUUUGUAUGCGCCAUUGUAGCACGUGUGUAGCCCUGGUCGUAAGGGCCAUGAUGACUUGACGUCAUCCCCACCUUCCUCCAGUUUAUCACUGGCAGUCUCCUUUGAGUUCCCGGCCGGACCGCUGGCAACAAAGGAUAAGGGUUGCGCUCGUUGCGGGACUUAACCCAACAUUUCACAACACGAGCUGACGACAGCCAUGCAGCACCUGUCUCACGGUUCCCGAAGGCACAUUCUCAUCUCUGAAAACUUCCGUGGAUGUCAAGACCAGGUAAGGUUCUUCGCGUUGCAUCGAAUUAAACCACAUGCUCCACCGCUUGUGCGGGCCCCCGUCAAUUCAUUUGAGUUUUAACCUUGCGGCCGUACUCCCCAGGCGGUCUACUUAACGCGUUAGCUCCGGAAGCCACGCCUCAAGGGCACAACCUCCAAGUAGACAUCGUUUACGGCGUGGACUACCAGGGUAUCUAAUCCUGUUUGCUCCCCACGCUUUCGCACCUGAGCGUCAGUCUUUGUCCAGGGGGCCGCCUUCGCCACCGGUAUUCCUCCAGAUCUCUACGCAUUUCACCGCUACACCUGGAAUUCUACCCCCCUCUACAAGACUCAAGCCUGCCAGUUUCGAAUGCAGUUCCCAGGUUGAGCCCGGGGAUUUCACAUCCGACUUGACAGACCGCCUGCGUGCGCUUUACGCCCAGUAAUUCCGAUUAACGCUUGCACCCUCCGUAUUACCGCGGCUGCUGGCACGGAGUUAGCCGGUGCUUCUUCUGCGGGUAACGUCAAUUGCUGCGGUUAUUAACCACAACACCUUCCUCCCCGCUGAAAGUACUUUACAACCCGAAGGCCUUCUUCAUACACGCGGCAUGGCUGCAUCAGGCUUGCGCCCAUUGUGCAAUAUUCCCCACUGCUGCCUCCCGUAGGAGUCUGGACCGUGUCUCAGUUCCAGUGUGGCUGGUCAUCCUCUCAGACCAGCUAGGGAUCGUCGCCUUGGUGAGCCGUUACCUCACCAACAAGCUAAUCCCAUCUGGGCACAUCUGAUGGCAAGAGGCCCGAAGGUCCCCCUCUUUGGUCUUGCGACGUUAUGCGGUAUUAGCCACCGUUUCCAGUAGUUAUCCCCCUCCAUCAGGCAGUUUCCCAGACAUUACUCACCCGUCCGCCACUCGUCAGCAAAGCAGCAAGCUGCUUCCUGUUACCGUUCGACUUGCAUGUGUUAGGCCUGCCGCCAGCGUUCAAUCUGAGCCAUGAUCAAACUCUUCAAUUUAAAAGUUUGAUGCUCAAUGAAUUAAACUUCGUAAUGAAUUACGUGUUCACUCUUGAGACUUGGUAUUCAUUUUUCGUC
rnacentral:rRNA from 1 species